GGAAGCGUGGCCGAGGGGUUUAAGGCAGCGGUCUUGAAAACCGCCAGGGAUUCACGUCCCUCGUGAGUUCGAAUCUCACCGCUUCCGCCA
rnacentral:tRNA from 1 species